GACGAACGCUGGCGGCGUGCUUAACACAUGCAAGUCGAACGAAGUGGCGAACGGGUGAGUAACGCGUAAUCAACCUGCCCUUCAGAGGGGGACAACAGUUGGAAACGACUGCUAAUACCGCAUACUGAAGGAGGGGAUUGCGUCUGAUUAGCUAGUUGGAGGGGGAAAGGCCCACCAAGGCGAUGAUCAGUAGCCGGGCUGAGAGGAUGAAGGGCAACAUUGGGAAUGAGACACGGCCCAGACCCCUAAGGGAGGCAGCAGUGGGGAAUCUUCCGAAAUGGACGAAAGUCUGACGGAGCAACGCCGCGGGAGUGAUGACGGCCUUCGGGUUGGAAAGCUCUGUUAAUCGGGACGCGGUACCGGAAGAGAAAGCCACGGCUAACUACGUGCCAGCAGCCGCGGUAAUAC
rnacentral:rRNA from 1 species